CCUGGCUCAGGAUGAACGCUAGCGACAGGCUUAACACAUGCAAGUCGAGGGGCAGCACAGGUAGCAAUACCGGGUGGCGACCGGCGCACGGGUGAGUAACGCGUAUGCAACUUACCUAUCAGAGGGGGAUAACCCGGCGAAAGUCGGACUAAUACCGCAUGAAGCAGGGGUCCCGCAUGGGGAUAUUUGCUAAAGAUUCAUCGCUGAUAGAUAGGCAUGCGUUCCAUUAGGCAGUUGGCGGGGUAACGGCCCACCAAACCGACGAUGGAUAGGGGUUCUGAGAGGAAGGUCCCCCACAUUGGUACUGAGACACGGACCAAACUCCUACGGGAGGCAGCAGUGAGGAAUAUUGGUCAAUGGGCGUAAGCCUGAACCAGCCAAGUCGCGUGAGGGAUGAAGGUUCUAUGGAUCGUAAACCUCUUUUAUAAGGGAAUAAAGUGCGGGACGUGUCCCGUUUUGUAUGUACCUUAUGAAUAAGGAUCGGCUAACUCCGUGCCAGCAGCCGCGGUAANUACGGAGGAUCCGAGCGUUAUCCGGAUUUAUUGNGUUUAAAGGGUGCGUAGGCGGCCUUUUAAGUCAGCGGUGAAAGUCUGUGGCUCAACCAUAGAAUUGCCGUUGAAACUGGGAGGCUUGAGUAUGUUUGAGGCAGGCGGAAUGCGUGNUGUAGCGGUGAAAUGCUUAGAUAUCACGCAGAACCCCGAUUGCGAAGGCAGCCCUGCAAGCCAUGACUGACGCUGAUGCACGAAAGCGUGGGGAUCAAACAGGAAUAGAUACCCUGUUAGUCCACCAGUAAACGAUGAUCACUAGCUGUUUGCGAUACAGUGUAAGCGGCACAGCCGAAGCCGUAAGUGAUCCACCUGGGGAGUACGCCGGCAACGGUGAAACUCAAAGGAAUUGACGGGGGCCCGCACAAGCGGAGGAACAUGUGGUUUAAUUCGAUGAUACGCGAGGAACCUUACCCGGGUUUGAACGCAUUCGGACCGAGGUGGAAACACCUUUUCUAGCAAUAGCCGUUUGCGAGGUGCUGCAUGGUUGUCGUCAGCUCGUGCCGUGAGGUGUCGGCUUAAGUGCCAUAACGAGCGCAACCCUUGCCACUAGUUACUAACAGGUGAUGCUGAGGACUCUGGUGGGACUGCCAGCGUAAGCUGCGAGGAAGGCGGGGAUGACGUCAAAUCAGCACGGCCCUUACAUCCGGGGCGACACACGUGUUACAAUGGCGUGGACAAAGGGAAGCCACCUGGCGACAGGGAGCGAAUCCCCAAACCACGUCUCAGUUCGGAUCGGAGUCUGCAACCCGACUCCGUGAAGCUGGAUUCGCUAGUAAUCGCGCAUCAGCCAUGGCGCGGUGAAUACGUUCCCAGGGCUUGUACACACCGCC
rnacentral:rRNA from 1 species